AACGAACGCUGGCGGCAGGCUUAACACAUGCAAGUCGAACGAAGUCUUCGGACUUAGUGGCGCACGGGUGAGUAACACGUGGGAAUAUACCUCUUGGUGGGGAAUAACAUCGGGAAACUGAUGCUAAAUACCGCAUACGGCCUCGGGGAAGAUUAUCGCCGAGAGAUUAGCCCGCGUCCGAUUAGCUAGUUGGUGAGGUAAUGGCUCACCAAGGCGACGAUCGGUAGCUGGUCUGAGAGGAUGAUCAGCCACACUGGGACUGAGACACGGCCCAGACUCCUACGGGAGGCAGCAGUGGGGAAGUAAUUGGGACAAUGGGCGAAAGCCUGAUCCAGCCAUGCCGCGUGAGUGAUGAAGGCC
rnacentral:rRNA from 1 species